GGGCGGUUAGCUCAGCUGGCGAGAGCGCUACCCCGACACGGUAGAGGCCACUGGUUCGAGUCCAGUACCGCCCACCA
rnacentral:tRNA from 1 species